UUUCACUCGGAGGGACGUGAGAGCCAUGGCAGGUUGUGGGCGGAGGAGAGGCAGGGCAAGCAGGGGAAGGGCAGAAUCAAGGAUCCUCGUCAGGGCUACUGUGACCAUCCAGUGUCAAGCAGGAUGCGAAAGCCCUGGGGAUAAAAGAUGACAUUGCAGACCCUGCCUCAUGAAGUUUGGGGCCUAAGAGCAGCAAAAGAUGUACAAGAAUGAAUACAGUAAGAGACAGAAUAAGAAGUACAAAUUAUUGCCUGUGAACUGAAAGAGAGGAGAAUGUCCUUAAGCCCAAUCUGGUAAAGCUCUCCAUCAGAUUCAACUCUAGCAGCGGGAAGAUGUUAAACAGUAUGAAAGAAGACAGAGGAGGUGAGUUUCUGGACCGCAGAGCCAGCGGCAGCCAGGAGUUGUCAGCUUUAUAUGCAGAUGAGGUCCAAGUCACAGGGCCUCACAGCAGAGUUAAUUCAACCUUGGACUUCCAGCCAUUUAACACAGUCUCCAAAUGCUGAGGUCUUUUCCUGGAAAAGAAACCUACUCUGUUCUGCCUAAAACGCUCUUUUAAAUGGUUUCAAAGUUGCUGAGUGUUUUGCUAAUGUUUUAGGGAACUAUGGAAAAGCUUGGGCACCACAGAGAAAUCAUGCUAACAGGGGAGCAGGGCUGCCUGGGGAACUGGCCCCGCUCAAAGAGGCAUUGCUAUCAGCAAUUCUUCUGCAGUGAGGCAGUGCUGGAAUAGGUUCUCAACGCCCCCAUGUUCUACAGGGACAGGCUGGCAAAAGGGGCUGUGUUGGUGGUGACAAGGGCAGCUGAGGACACGAGGUCAUGACUCGGCAGUGUCAGAGGUCUUCUGUGAUGGGCACUGCCCUUGUGACAAUCUAAUUAAGUGUUGGAUCAACGGAUCAAAUAUUAAGCUGCAGGCUUUCAUAAAUGUCCAUUAAAGGUUUAAAAUGUACACAGGCCUUGAUUUUAAUGGCCCACUAACAGAGCUCAUCAAGCUCCAUGGUUCUUGUGAUGAUGGUAAGAAGGACCCAGCCCCUGUGCUCCUGUUAUUGGCAUAAUCCAACACCUUCACAGCCUUCGGUCCUCUUUAUUAGUUAUUGACAAUGACAACUGCACACAUCUCGACAUUUCUGCAAAUAUUUCGACUGUAUAUGCAAAUGUAAGUUUCUACCGGAUUUAACAGGACAUAUGUUGUGACAACAAUAAACAAGGAAAACAGAACCAAGUUCAGAAGACCCUUAUUUCUUCUUAUCCUCUUCUCAUCUCCAUCUUUAUAACCCAAAGGGCACAGUCUCCAACAGAAGGCUGUUUAUAAAUGCAUUUGAGAAGUCCCAAGAAAUGCCUGAAGUAGGUCCUUUAUUCCUAGACUCAAGGGCCUCCUUGAAUAACAAUCGUUCACAUUUGAAGAAGAACGUGUAUUGAAGAGGUUGCUAAUUAAUCUAGCACCACAUUACAUUGUGGAAAAUAAGAUUUCCCCCUUUAAAAUAGCAACUUACCCCUUUACAAAAACCAAAAAGAGAGAAGAGACAGAGAGAGCCUCUGUCCUUACCGUGAGUGACAGAGCCAUGCAGACGAAGGUGAACUUCUUGAUGUGGGCCGCCGUGACUGUGUUGCUCGUGCUCACCAGUUUGUUGCUGGGGUUAUUCUGGGGAAAGAAAACCACAGUCAUGAAUGGGCCCGGCUUAUCCUUGGCUGAACCCACCGGGGGAUCUUGAAGAGCAUCUUGCUUUCGUUUUAUCUGAUGUGUCUGAAUUAGAGGUUUCAAGUGACAGUUUGCCAGGCGGCUGUCAUGUUGAGUGUCUCUCGGGCAGCUACCAGGUCCCUGUACAGGAUCAUUAACCUGAGUGAAUUCUCGACUCAAUGCCCUGCAGCCUGUCCAACUCAGUCACCUCCCCUCUGCCUGGGCAGCCCAUCUCGCCCAGUCCUGGGGCUUCGGCUCUGGAGCCUGCUCCUGCCCCAUGCACCUGGCUCCUGGUCCCAGCAGACCCUGUGCCUGGCCCCAAUCAGCAUCUCCCUAAAUGCCAUGGCCCUGUUCAGUGGCCUCCAGAGCUCCUCUCCUCCCUACCAAAUGGACUAUGAAUUCCACUGGGCAUUCAAGGCCUUGUGCAAUCUGACACAGACUCACUUUCCAGCCGUGACUUCUCCACUUCUAGCCCAAAUGGGACUUCCUGCUCUUCCGCUGACACACCUGGUGCUUUUGUUCCUCCUGCCAUUGAAUCCUGAUUUUCAGAAACAUCCCUCUUUCUAAGGCCCAUGAUCUUCACAGCCCAUCUGCUCCCUAAAGCCUCUCUGAUCUUUGGCCUCCAAGCUGGGCCCCACCUCCUGUAAAGCCCGAUGACCCUGGAGCUCUCUGAAGGCAGGCAUCAUGUCCUGGUAUGCGUCCAACCCCGGUGAGGCUGUGCGUGCUGAGAUAACGCCCUGCGUGUCUCCCCUUAAAUCACUCAGCACAUCUGCGUAGAAAAGAUGCCCCAAGAACAUCUGCUGCACUGCAUUUCAAGCAGGACUGCGGGGGGCUCAGAUGUCACCCAGCUUGACAGUCAAAGGGGCCUGCCGAGGCUCUCCAGCUGCACUGCUAAGCGUGCUCCUCACCCCUGCAAAACGAGGGCCUGGCCCCCGGACCACGAAAACUGGCAGAGAAAAAUAACCUUGGCCUCAUUAUGGACCGAAUUAGUCCCAGAGCCAACUCACAAAAACAAACCCUGAACACCUGGCUCCGCAUCCAGCCGCGUGAAACACACACCCACAGCUACUACAGGAUCCACCUGGAAAAGAGCUUGUGCUUUUCCUUUAUUGGGAGGCUAAGGUCAUUUCAAAUCCCUUCCACCACCAGCACCAACCUCUGAAUGAGUAUACGUUUUCUUAAUCUAGUCUCUAAAACAUCUGUUUUCCAGACUGCUCUAUGGCAAAGUACAAGUCCCAGUGGUUGGAGACCUCCAUCUCCAUUCACCCUGGAUCUGUUAGAGGACCGCAUUCUGUAAGAGCAGUGCCCUGCUGGGUACGAUGAGAAGGGGGCCUAUGUUGGAAAGAAUUAGGGAACCUCAGCAAAACACACAUACUGCCAUGGGGACAGCAACGUACCACAGCUCCUUUGGGGCACUGUGAUUUGCAAAAUGGCACAUAUUCACAUGAAGAUCGUUGAAAUAAACCAGCAGGUAUCAUUAGAUUAGCAUUGGAGUUUCAGUUUGUUUGCCCAAUUGGCUCAGAAGCAUCCUUUUUUGCAGGUAACUGAACAUUAGAGAGAAUCUGCACUAGUGGAAACCUCUCUCAGCUCAUGCUUAGCUAGAACUCCCGGAAGGUAUGUGAGAAAUUUUAAAUCUCUGAUUCUGGAGCCCACAAGGAAGCUAAGGAUUUCAGCUGUCAAUGCAGCAGAUUCUGGAAGUCCAUAUGGAGGUGCCUAAGAUUUUGGUGAAUAGACGGUAUUCAUAUAAAUGGCUGGUGUAGCUUGCUGGAAUGCUUGAAAACAAUGGGCGAGGUUUUAAAAGGAUUUGGAGUAACUCGAAGUUCUGGUGAGAGGUAUGCUCGUUAAAGGAAUUUUUUAUGGCUCCUAGCCUCUGUGAUCAAGAAUAAAACAAUGUUUUUCUUGGAUGCUCUUACUGAAACCAUACAGUGUUGUAUUGUUAAAUUUUAUGAUUUCAAGGCAGCCAAAAAUAAUCUCAGAUGAGACCUAAGCAGCCAGGAGGUUCUAACACUUCAGUACUUGCCCUUCUCAUCAGUUUCAUCAGAUGAUCACCUUAUUCAUCAGGAGCUAGAACUGAAACUUAGCAAGAAGACAUACAUUCAUGCUGGUUUUCUAGGAUUUACUUCUAUACACAGGUGCCUUGAAAUGAAAACAAUGAUUUCUAUCUAUAGACUGAAUUAAACCCACUC